CCCCACCCCCACCAGAGGUCACUACCAAUUUGUCAACUUUCUUAGCCUCUCAGGCCCUGGAGAAGAUGAGGAAGGCAAAGUUCCCGUCCCCUGAUGGGUCCCCUGAUGUGUCCCCUGAUGUGCUGCGAAGAGGAGCUGCGGCCAGACACGGAGAAACAGGCACAUCCUGCUACCGAGGGCAGAUUUUAUUUAUUUAUGAGAGACAGACGCAGGCAGAGGGAGAAGCAGGCUCCAUGCAGGGAGCCCGAGGUGGGACUCGAUCCCGGGACUCCAGGGUCAGGCCCUGGGCUGAAGGCGGCGCUACACCACUUAGCCACCCGGGCUGCCCACUUUGACACGCUCUUUACCAGGAGCUGAAGCCUGAGUUGUUCCUGAUGGUCUCACUGUCCCAGGCCCUGGGGCAUGGAAGGCACUGUGACCUGGAAGAUGACCUUCCCCAUGAAAAAGAAAACCAGCCUCUGCUUUUCCUGAGUAGUUUUAUUUUAUUAUAUAUAAUAAAUGUAUAUGU